rnacentral:rRNA from 1 species
GGAAUCUUCCGCAAUGGACGAAAGUCUGACGGAGCAACGCCGCGUGAGUGAUGAAGGUUUUCGGAUCGUAAAACUCUGUUGUUAGGGAAGAACAAGUAUCGGAGUAACUGCCGGUACCUUGACGGUACCUAACCAGAAAGCCACGGCUAACUACGUGCCAGCAGCCGCGGUAAACCGUAGGUGGCAAGCGUUGUCCGGAAUUAUUGGGCGUAAAGCGCGCGCAGGUGGUCUCUUAAGUCUGAUGUGAAAGCCCCCGGCUCAACCGGGGAGGGUCAUUGGAAACUGGGAGACUUGAGUGCAGGAGAGAAGAGUGGAAUUCCACGUGUAGCGGUGAAAUGCGUAGAGAUGUGGAGGAACACCAGUGGCGAAGGCGACUCUUUGGCCUGUAACUGACACUGAGGCGUGAAAGCGUGGGGAGCAAACAGG